rnacentral:SRP_RNA from 2 species
GCCGGGUGUGGUGGCGGGCACCUGUAAUCCCAGCUACUCAGGAGGCUGAGGCAGGAGAAUUGCUUGAACCCAGGAGGCAGAGGUUGCAGUGAGCUGAGAUCACACCACUGCACUCCAGCCUGGGUGACAGAGCAAGACUCUGUCUCGA